rnacentral:lncRNA from 1 species
AGUUAGGAAACUGACUGUCGCUCUCUCCGGCCUCGGCGCUGCUUCGGACGCCCCGGCACCGGCCCCCGUUGCUUUGUAGCAUUCUGCAGCUGGGCUGCAGGCGCCGUGGGCCUCCGCCAGUUGUGUUCGAGACGCGGUUCGGCCACAGAAGUUUUAGCUUGUGACUUUUGGCAAGUCAGUGGCCCUCUCUGGGCCUCAGGUGCCUUUUUUGCUGUGAGACCAGCGACUGUAUUUUUAACCCUGAUUUUAUCCCUAGAUCUACCCAACACAUAGUAGGUGCUCAAAAGAUAUUUAUGAGUGAAUGAAUGCAUCAUGAGAAGAAAUUGGACCAGAUGAGGCCCUGUGAAGCUGCUUGGGUCUUUUUUUGUUCUUUUUUUUUUCUCUCUUCUGAGUGUCCCUGGCCUGGACUAGAAAUUCUCCAUCCUUCGGCCUUCUGCGAGACUGCAGGAACAUUACUUUUGAAGGAUGCUAAGGAAUCCGAGGGAUGAAAAAAAUCAAGAGAUUGCAAUGAUGUCACAAAACAAGGAAACAAGUGCAGCAUCUUCACUCCGAAGCAGAAAUUUGCCAAAAAAGCAUCCUCUUUUUAUCAGAAAAUAAAAUAUCCUGGUUUCUUAGCCUGGCAUUCUUGGAUCCCCACAGUUUGAUCCCAACCGACAACUCCUUAUUUGAAACUUCAGAUUCUCCCAAACCGUCACCUUCCUCGUGGACUUAAUCCUGGAAGGCCCUUCUACCCCACUUCGCCUUAUCUCACACAAACACAGUCUCUCUCUGACUGAGAUAAACUUGAACACUUCUUUUCUUUUCUUUUUUUUUUUCUUUAAAUUUCGGGUUUCAAAAUACAAAUGGCCUAAUCACAACAUUUCUGUAAUGUUGUCUAAAUUCAGGUACUGGUUUGAAUAGAGGACAAAAAUAAAACAAGGUUUGAAGACUAAGUACUUUAAAAACAUAUUUAUUUAAAUAGAGGCAGGGCCUCCCUAUGUUGCCCAGGCUGCUCUCAAACUCCUGGCCUCAAAAGUGAUCCUUGGGCUGGGCGUGGUGGCUCACGCCUGUAAUUCCAGCACUUUGGGAAGUCGAGCCAGGUGGAUCACUUGAGGUCAGGAGUUUAAGACCAGCCUGGCCAACAUGUUGAAACCCCAUCUCUACUAAAAAUACAAAAAUUAGCUGGGCGUGGGGGUGGUGUGGCCAUAAUCCCAGCUAUCCGGGAGGCGGAGGCAAGAAAAUCGCUUGAACCGUGCAGUUGUCAUUAACUCCGUGUUUGUUAUCUCUUUUUUACCAAUGGUUUGCCAGUUUCUUCUACAAAUACCUGUUGCUACCUAUGUGCUCAUUGGGAUAGUGAGCAAAAACAAACAAGGGUCUUGGUCUUUUGGAACUUAUAUUAGGGAAGGAUAUUGAUCAAAUCAUACAAAUAAAUGCAAAGUUGGAACUAUUUCAAUUGCUGUAGAGGGGUACAUGUUAUUUAAUAUGAGGACUUUUAGAAGGAGAAUUGAGCUAAUCAGUGGAAUCAAGGGAAACUUUUUUUUUUGAGAUGGAGUCUCCCUCUGUCACCCAGGCUGGAGUGCAGUGGCACAGUCUUGGCUUACUGCAACCUCCACCUCCUGGGUUCAAGUGAUUCACCUGCCUCACCCUCCGGAGUAGCUGGGGUUACAAGCAUUCACCACCACACCCAGCUAAUUUUUGUAUUUUUAGUAGAGACGGGGUUUUGCCAUGUUGGCCAGGCUGGUCUUGAACUCCUGGCCUCAACUCAUCUGCUUGCCUCGCCUCCCAAAGUGCUGGGAUUACAGGCAUGAGCCACUGUGCCCGGCCAAGGGAAAUUUUUUAACAAAAAUUUAAGUUGGGGUCUCUCUGUGUUGCCCAGGCCUCCCGCCUCGGUCUUCCAAAAUGCUAGGAUUAUAGGCAUGAGCCGUUGAGGCCAGCUGGGAAACUUUUUUUUUGAGGAAGUGUGUAUUUAGCUGAGAUCUAGAGUAAGAGUUAACUUGAUUAUGAUGGGAAAAUAAUUUUCUGGAAAGAAGGAGCAGCAUGUCCUGAGUGGGGAGGGAGCAUGGUACCUAACAUCCAACAAAGGCCGGUGCAGCAGAAGUCUAGAGCACGAGGGGCAUGGGGAAAGGGCUGCUAGGGAGUUAGGGGCCAAACUGCAGGACAUUGUAGGCCAAGCUCUUCUUCAUCCUUAGGGUUAAGAUUUAUUUUUUAUUCUAUCAGUCAAUCAAUCAAUCGAUCGAUGAGACAGGGUCUUGCUCUGUCACCCAGGCUGGAGUGCAGUGGUGCAAUCAUAGCUCACUGCAGCCUCAAACUCCUGGGCUCAAGUGAUCCUCUUGCCUCAGCCUCCCAAGUAGCUGGGACUACAGGCAUGCACCACCAUGCCUGGCCAACUUUUAAAAUUUUCUGUAGAGAUGGGAUCUCACUAUGUUGCCCAGGCUGGUCUCCAACUCCUGGCCUCAAGUGAUCCUCCCACCUCGGCCUCCCAAAGCUCUUGAGAUUAAAGAAUAUAUUGGUAUAUGUUGGAGUGGCACUUUAGAGAAGUAGUUGAAUAAAUUUAAUUUUUUUUAAAAGACAGGUUCUCUGUCACCCAGAGAGUGCAGUGGUGUGAUCACACUACAGUCUCACUACAGCCUCAACUUCCAGGGUUCAAGUGAUCUGCCUCAGCCUCCCGAGUAGCUGAGACCACAGGCGUGUGCCACCAUGGCUAGCUAAUUUUUGUAUUUUAUUUUUGUAGAGACAGGGUUUUGCCAUGCUGCCUAGGCUGGUCUCAAACUCCUGGGCUCAAGUGAUCUGCCCACCUCAGCUUCCCAAAGUGCUGGGCUUAUAGGCAUGAACUGUGCCUGGCAGAAAUUUAAUGUUUAAUUCUUAUUUUCCAUUUAGCUUAUAACACUGUCAAUAAAUUAUCCUUUCAAAAUAAUUUUGAGUUUCCUGGCACAGUGAAAGAUCAAGCAUUGUGUUAUAUUUGAAAGGUUAGCUUCUGUGAGUGGAUAGGACUCUGGGGCAUCAGAGGGCCUUACUGUGAAUGUAGGUUCUGUCCAGGAAGCUGUCCAGGAAGCUGUGAGAUCUUGGGCAAGUUACAUAUCUCUCUGUCUUUCAGUUUCUUCUUCUGAAAGACGAAAUGGUAAUGGUAAAAUGGAAAUAAUACUAGUACCUACCACACAGAGUUGGAACGAGAAUUAAGAGUCAUGUCUUGGCCGGGCGCGGUGGCUCACGCCUGUAAUCCCAGCACUUUGGGAGGCCGAGGCGGACGGAUCACGAGGUCAAGAGAUCAAGACCAUCCUGGCCAACAUGGUGAAACCCCAUGUCUACUAAAAAUACAAAAAUGAGCCAGGUGUGGUGAUAUGUGCCUAUAGUCCCAGCUACUUGGGAGGCUGAGGCAGGAGAAUUGCUUGAACCUGGGAGGUGGGGGUUGCAGUGAGCCGAGAUUGCGCCACUGCACUCCAGCCUGGGCGACAGAGCAAGACUCUGUCUAAAAAAAAAACAAAAAACAAAAAAGUCAUGUCGUAUGUGCAAAACUCUUAAAGUAUUUAGCACAUAGUACAUACUGUUUAAGUGUUGGUUCUUAUUCAGAGAUAAUGUCAAGUGUUCAAAUGUGAGGCCCUUGGCUCCAAGUGAGGCAGGUGGCCCUCAUGACUAGUGUCACUGUAUAAUUUAUUGUGCAAACCAGGACUUUUGAGAGGGUCAUUAAAGGAAGCACUGGUAAUAAUUGUGUUGGGAAAACAGGUCUGCGGGAAAACAGGUCUGCAGUGAAGCUGUCUCAGGCAAAUGGGAAUAUAUGGUCACAUUAUUUAUGAACCCACUGCAGCUCUACUGCUUACCAUUGUCCACCUUGACAUCUCCUUACUCAGAGACUAUGACAGUCCCUGUUCGUUGUAGCAUUUACUUAACUCUUAGCCUAUGCUGUCUGGAGCCAGUUUGUAUUUGCUUUUGUUAGGUACAGAUGUCCUGUCUUCCCAAGUGGACUGUAAGUGCCUGAGGGCAAGGACCCAUCAUACACUUCCCUGUGACCUGAGUGUGCAGAUAGGUGGCUUGACAAAGAGAUGAGUGAUAGUUCCCCUUUCUCUAUGGCUGACUGCCACCGUCACUACUUGAAACCCUCAUUAUGAUAGUUACUACUGUUACUGUUUGAGACCUUCACUACGACAGUUACUACUGACUACUUGAGACCUUCACUAUGACAGUUACUACUGUUAGUACUUGAGACCGUCAUUAUGACAGUUGCUGUUACUACUUGAGACCAUCAGUACAACAGUUACUAUUGUUACUACUUGAGACCAUCAUUAUGACAGUUACUACUGUUACUACUUGAGACCGUCAUUAUAACAGUUACUGCCAUUACUCUUUAACACCCUCAUUACAAGACUGAAUGAAGGGAUGAACAUAGACAAUGAAAACUUAAAGCAAAAAGGAAGGGUCCAGGGGAAGAAGAAGAGAGCUCCCUGCUUCUAGUGAGCAAAGGCAGCCCUUGAGCUUCCACAGCCCUUCGUAUUUGUUGGGUAGCAAGAGCAGGGAGGAGGAGGUAAUGAUGGGUUGGCUGCUUAACUGAUAACAGGUUCAUAAUAUUAUUAACAGGCUUCAGAUGUACCUAAUCGCAAGAAACACUGUGCUUGGGGCAUGACUGCCCUCAGCAUUCCUUCUGGGUGGCAGACGCAGUUUGUCAGUCUGCCAACAUUCUGCAUUUAUGAGAAACAGUUUGUGGUUUACUCAUACAGCCUCCAGUGGUAUACUGAGUUGAUCAUGACCCUCAUUCUUUCGGCCUGUAACAUUUCUCUCUCAUGAGGUCUCUUGAAAGCCUGCGCCUAAAUCCUGUCAUUUGAUAGUGCAACUGUCUCUUGUUAUAGUUGGGGAAUUGGUUCCAGGACCCUGGAGUAUACGCAAACCUGCACACACUCGUCUUGCAGUUGGCUCUGCAUAUAUGUGGCUUUUGCAACCCUCUGUUACUGUAUUUGCUUUUUUUUUUUUUUUUAGAUGGAGUUUCGCUCUUGUUGCCCAGGCUGGAGUGCAGUGGCACAAUCUCAGCUCACUGCAACCUCCGCCUCCUGAGUUCAAGUGAUUCUCCUACCUCAGCCUCCCAAGUAGCUGGGAUUACGGGCAUGUGCCACCAUGUCUGGCUAAUUUUUGUAUUUUUAGUAGAGACGGAGUUUCACCAUGUUGGCCAGGCUGGUCUCGAAGUCCUGACCCCACAUGAUCCACUCGCCUCGGCCUCCCAAAGUGCUGGGAUUAUAGGCAUGAGCCACUGCGCCCGGCCUGCUGUAUUUUCUUUCCUUUUCCUUUUAUUAUUUAACUGAAUAAGAAAAAAUGUUGGUAUCCUUUCUUUUCUUCUUGCUCUGUUCUCCCCUCUCUCCCUCCCUUCCUUCUUUUCCUUUCCUGCCUCCCUCCCUUCCUUCCUUUCCUCCUUCCCUUCUUUUUCCCUUCCUUCCUCCCUCCCUUCCUCCCUUCCUCCCUUCUUCCUUUCCUCUUUUUGGAGAUAGUUUCACUCUGUCACCAGGCUGGGUGCAGGGGUGUGACCAUGGCUCACUGCAGCCUUGACCUCCUGGGCUCAAGUGAUCCUACCAUCUCACUGCCUGAGUAGCUAGAAUUACAGGUGCAUGCUACCACUUCCAGCCAUUACUAUAUUUUUGAUCUAUAUUUGGUUGAAAGAAAUCUACAUUAUAAGUGGACCUGCCCAGUUCAAACCCGUGUUGUUCAAAGAUCACCGGUAUAUCAAGCAUGGGGCAGAAUACUCCAAGCUCUCAGCCCCUUGACUUUCCCCUAGUUGAUUUCGCCCCUUCCAAUCCUGCCUCCUGUAGUCACUCUCCACACAGCUUCCAACUCUCUGGUUUACAGCCUCUCAGUGGGCUGGGCACAGUGGCUCAUGCCUGUAAUCCCAGCACUUUGGGAGGCUGAGGUGAGUGGAUCACUUGAGGUCAGGAGUUUGAGACCAGCCUGGCCAACAUGGUAAAACCCCAUCUCUAUUGAAAAUAUAAAAAUUAGCCAGGCGUGGUGGCACUAGCCUGUAAUCCCAGCUACUUGGAAGACUGAGGCAGGAGAAUCACUUGAACCUGGGGGGCAGAGGUUGCAGUGAGCCGAAAUUGUCCCACUGCACUCCAGCCUGGGUGACAGAACGAGACUCUGUCUCAAAAACAACAACAACAAAAACACCUCACAGUGGCUUAUCAUUACUUUUAUGGAAGGAGAUUGCAACAUUCUCCUCCAAACCCUUCAAUGGCUUUUCUUCAUACUUGAAAAUAAAACCCGAACUUUUUGUCAGAGCAAACAAAACUCUGCAGAUCCGGCCCUGCCUGAUCUCUUGAACCUCACCCCUGCCACUCAUCCUGUCUCUUCCCCUAACGAUCAUAAGAUCCAGGAACACUAAUCUAUUUCCAGGGCUUUGUGUCAGUGCCUGGCACAAGGUAGGGUCCAAAUACCCAUUUGUGGAAAGAAUAAAUUUUUAUUUUUUAAAAAAUAGAGAUGGGGAGGCCGGGUAUGGUGGCUCAUGUCUGUAAUCCCU